GUGAACGCUGGCGGCGUGCUUAACACAUGCAAGUCGAACGCGAAAGGGUAGCAAUACCCGAGUAGAGUGGCGAACGGGUGAGUAAUGUGUGGGUAAUCUGCCUUUCAGCGGGGGAUAACCUGGCGAAAGCCGGGCUAAUACCGGCGUAUGAUCACGGACUUUACGGAGUCAGUGAUGAAAGAUGGCCUCUGCUUGCAAGCUAUCGCUGAAAGAUGAGCUCACAUCCUAUCACGCUUGUUGGUGAGGUAAUGGCUCACCAAGGCGACGACGGGUAGCCGGCCUGAGAGGGGUCCGGCCACACUGGAACUGAGACACGGUCCCAGACUCCUACGGGAGGCAGCAGUGGGGAAUUUUGGGCAAUGGCGAAAGCCUGACCCAGCAACGCCGCGUGUGGGAUGAAGGCCCUAGGGUCGUAAACCACUGUCAGGAGGAAAGAACGGCCGGCCGGAUAAUACUCGGUCGGUUUGACGUACCUCCAAAGGAAGCGCCGGCUACUCCGUGCUAGUAGCCGCGGGUAAUACGGAGGGCGCAAGCGUUGUUCGGAAUUACUGGGCGUAAAGCGCAUGCAGGUGGUUCUGAGUAAGUCGAAUGUGAAAGCCCCGGGCUCAACUCGGGAACUGCCUCCGAAACUACUUGGCUAGAGUCCCGGAGGGGAAGGCAGAAUUCCCAAUGUGUGGGGUGAAAUCGUAGAUAUUGGGAGGAAUACCGGUGGCGAAGGCGGCCUUCUGGACGGUGACUGACACUCAGAUGCGAAAGCGUGGGAGCAAACAGGAUUAGAUACCCUGGCUAGUCCACGCCGUAGACGUUGCGGACUAGGUGUCGCGGGUAUUUCACCCCUGCGGUGCCGAAGCCAACGUCUAAGUCCGCAGCUGGAAGUACGGCCGCGAGGCUAAAACUCAAAUGAAUUGACGGGGGCCCGCACAAGCGGGUGGAGCAUGUGUUCAAUUCGAUGCAACGCGAAGAACCUUACCUGGGCUGACAUCCAGAGUAUCUUCCCCGAAAAGGGAGAGUGCCCGCAAGGGACUCUGAGACAGGUGCUGCAUGGCUGUCGUCAGCUCGUGUCGUGAGAUGUUGGGUUAAGUCCCGCAACGAGCCGCAACCCUUGCCUUUAGUUGCCAGCGGUCCGGCCGGGCACUCUAAUGGGACCGCCGAUGUCAAAUCGGAGGAAGGUGGGGAUGACGUCAAGUCCUCAUGGCCUUUAUGCCCAGGGCUACACACGUGCUACAAUGGUCGGUACAGAGGGCAGCGACAGCGCGAGCUGAAGCAAAUCCCAAAAAGCCGACCUCAGUACGGAUUGGAGUCUGCAACUCGACUCCAUGAAGGUGGAAUCGCUAGUAAUCGCGGAUCAGCUUGCCGCGGUGAAUACGUUCCCGGGCCUUGUACACACCGCCCGUCACGCCACGAAAGCUGCCCGACCAGCAGUCGGUGACCUAACCCGCAAGGGAUGGAGCCGCCCAAGGUUCUGGUAGUGAUUGGGGUG
rnacentral:rRNA from 1 species